CAUAGCAACCAGGACAACCAUCUUGAUAAGCAGCAGCACAUUUUGAGUUAUUUGCUGAAUUAUCAUCUUUCUACAUCCUGUAUGUUAAAGCCUUUGAAAAGCAUCGUCCUUUUACUCAUUAUUCAUUAAAACCGGAGCUUGGAGGCUAAAACCUGACUCACAAGUUUUCUUGAAGAAGUUAGACUGGCUGUCAAAUUGUGUUCGAUACACACAGGGAGGACAGUACAGUAAAAGGACGUCUCUAAGAGGUAAACUAACACAACAACGGAGGACCAGAUGGCUGUGUGACAUGUUUUCAGUUCUGUGCAAGGAACCACCAUCACACUAUGGCCCUUCCCAUCUUCCUGUGGGAAGAUGGAUUUUGUAAGACCUGGAAUGCAGAAGAAAUUGACCUGCCAGACUUCUCGGAUGCAGCUGUAGCCAUUCCCACUGUCUCGGGUGAUACAGACUCCCUUGUGAAGUUUGGUCCUGCUAUUCAUUCUAUAGUUCUUGACGAAGAUAUUGUUGUGUGUGAUAUAGCAGAGUUGACAGACGUUAAUUUUGCUAUUUGGUUUAAUUUAUGCACUUCAUCUCAAUUAUCCAAAGCAAUUGUCCUACACAUUUAAUUUCAUUAAAAAAAUUAUAAUGGGUUUGGAAGACCUGAAGCGGUUACCUCCUAGACUGCUGCUUAGCCUUAAAAAUAAAUUGCUGAUGAUGGAUGAGUAGGCAGUCUGUUCUCCAAAUCUCAUGGUUGGUACUGCCAGCAUGUUAAUACUCAAGCAAGCAAUGGAGCUUUUCGCUUUUAUUUAUGUUGGACUAUUAUUUGGUUAUUUGAGUAUUAUUACCUUUGUUGAAGUGGUAACAGGUUGUUAUUUCUUUGAUUUUUUGGAUUAACCGCAU